GUGCUGGACUGCAGAAUCUCGGGAACACUUGUUUUCUCAAUUCGGUUCUCCAGUGCCUGACUUAUACCGAGCCUUUUGCUGCGUAUUUGCAAAGUGGGAAGCAUAAAUCUUCUUGCCAUACCGCUGGAUUCUGUGCCAUGUGUGCUCUUCAGAAUCAUGUCAUGCAUGCUCUACAAUCAACUGGGAAAAUAGUGUCACCUUCCCAUCUUGUCAGGAACUUGCGAUGCGUAUCUCGAAAUUUUCGCAAUUCAAGACAAGAAGAUGCACA
rnacentral:misc_RNA from 1 species